GAUUUCGAUUUGAUUGUGUGAUUGACUGAUUGUACUUCAUGGUGCUUGCACUUCCAAGGACAAUUUAUUCCAGUGCCCGAUUCAUUGUCCGUCUCAACCAAACCUCACAUGGUGGUGCGAAUUUAUGCUAGGAAUAAAUGUUCCAGGGUUGGAGAAGAGGGGGUUGAGCAGCAGCUGAGCUUAGCUAGGCAGGCCAGGGGAUGAAGGUACGAUGCAGUGAGUGCAGCAGCGGCAGCGGGGA